ACAGAGGGGGCCAGCGUUAUUCGGAAUUACUGGGCGUAAAGGGCGCGUAGGCGGCAAUUCAAGUCAUCUGUGAAAUCUCCGGGCUUAACUCGGAACGGUCAGAUGAUACUGUUUUGCUAGAGUGCAGAAGGGGCAAUCGGAAUUCUUGGUGUAGCGGUGAAAUGCGUAGAUAUCAAGAGGAACACCUGAGGUGAAGACGGGUUGCUGGGCUGACACUGACGCUGAGGCGCGAAAGCCAGGGGAGCAAACGGGA
rnacentral:rRNA from 1 species